GUAAUAGUUGUAUUCAUGCCAAAACUCGUUAUCAGUUACAUGAUAUCUGGCACAUUUAACUGGUUGUUUAAUAAGAAAUGUUUUCCCAAGGAACAAAAAAGUUCACUUCUUCCAUAUUCAUCGCUACUACUUUCUUACUUAGCGUACAACUUGCGGAAAGUGUUCAACCUUAUUGGACAAGGCAGUUUUCACAAGAAACACUAAUCAAAACAAACAAUUCUGAUGGUAAGUAAU